rnacentral:rRNA from 1 species
GAUACCCUAUUAUACUAAAAAGCAAAAUUAAGAGAGCCGGAUUAUUAUUAGAUAUAUUCUUUAAAUUCGAAGAAUUUGGCGGUGGUUUAGUCUUGUCAGAGGAACCUGUUUUUGAAUCGAUACACCACGUAAAAUCUUGCUCGUUUUUGUUUUCAGCUUAUAUACCGUCAUUAGUAGAUAAUUUUAAGAGAAUAAAUUAUUAAGGUUUAUAUAGAUUAAGUUAAAUUAGAUCAAGGUGUAGCUUAUAAAUGAGUUGAAAUGGGUUACAAUAAAUUUUAUUUAUAACGGAAUAAACUAAGGAAGGAUAGGUUUUAAAGGAGGAUUUGAUUGUAAUAUAAGUUUAAUAUGCUUAGGAGAUAUAAGCCCUAAAUCAUGUACAU